UACGAAGGGGGCUAGCGUUGCUCGGAAUCACUGGGCGUAAAGCGCACGUAGGCGGAUCUUUAAGUCAGGGGUGAAAUCCCAAGGCUCAACCUUGGAACUGCCUUUGAUACUGGGGAUCUUGAGUCCGGGAGAGGUGAGUGGAACUGCGAGUGUAGAGGUGAAAUUCGUAGAUAUUCGCAAGAACACCAGUGGCGAAGGCGGCUCACUGGCCCGGUACUGACGCUGAGGUGCGAAAGCGUGGGGAGCAAACAGGG
rnacentral:rRNA from 1 species